ACGUGGCAGCUUAUGUCCUAAAUAGGAGCAACCCUGGGCCGCUAUCCUGUGAGGGUGGAGACGCUCCCCGCUCCCCGAGACUGGACAGACACCGAGAGGUGGAGCUGAGCUAAUACGAGGCUAAGGGAAUCCCAUGUAUUCCAGUUACCCUGAACUCCCGUACAGCAGAGGAUGCCCCCGAGCUUCGGAGCCACCAUCUCUUACUAGGAUUCCAGGUGUGUGGCACUCACUGCCUCUUGAAGUAUUAGGCACUGAGUGAAGUGUGAGCCCAGGACUUCCUGCUUGCUGGGCUGUCCCAUCCCUAUGCCAUCUCUGCAGCCCUUGGAGGAUCCCUUUCAAGGCUUCUACCUGGAGCAACUGCCCACAGUUCUGCCUUAAGAGUGCCUGAGAGACCUGGCAUCACAGCCUGCCCUCCAAAUCAUCACUCACUCUGCCAGGCACACCAGGUCUUCCUCCCCUUACUCGCCGCACCAAAGAAAUCAAAACCCAAACUGAGGUAUCAGAAACAUGUUCUUUUUUUCUUUUAAUAGUAAACCUCUUUACAACAAAUAUAGUGAAAGAGUUUUCAAACC
rnacentral:lncRNA from 1 species